CCUACGGGAGGCAGCAGUGAGGAAUAUUGGUCAAUGGGCGGGAGCCUGAACCAGCCAAGUCGCGUGAGGGAAGACGGUCCUAUGGAUUGUAAACUUCUUUAGGCGGGGAGCAAUGCCGGGCACGCGUGCCCGGAGGGAGAGUACCCGCAGAAUUAGCAUCGGCAAACCCCGUGCCAGCAGCCGGGGUAAUACGGAGGAUGCGAGGUUUAUCGGGAUUUUUUGGGUUAAAGGGGUGCGGAGGCGGAUUUUUAAGUCAGGGGUAAAAUGGCCGGGCACAACCCGGGCGGGCCGUUGAGACUGGGGAUCUUGAGUGGGCGAGAAGUAUGCGGAAUGCGUGGUGUAGCGGUGAAAUGCAUAGAUAUCACGCAGAACUCCGAUUGCGAAGGCAGCAUACCGGCGCCCGACUGACGCUGAGGCACGAAAGCGUGGGGAUCGAACAGGAUUAGAUACCCUUGUAGUC
rnacentral:rRNA from 1 species